GUCCCUGUAGUGCAGUGGACCACGCUUUGGACAUCUGAUUCAAAGAUCUUGGGUUCAAUUCCCACCUGGGAUG